UACGUAGGGUGCGAGCGUUAAUCGGAAUUACUGGGCGUAAAGCGUGCGCAGGCGGCGCGUUAAGACAGGUGUGAAAGCCCCGAGCUUAACUUGGGAAUUGCGCUUGUGACUGGCGGGCUGGAGUGUGGCAGAGGGAGGUGGAAUUCCACGUGUAGCAGUGAAAUGCGUAGAGAUGUGGAGGAACACCGAUGGCGAAGGCAGCCUCCUGGGCCAGCACUGACGCUGAGACGCGAAAGCGUGGGGAGC
rnacentral:rRNA from 1 species